rnacentral:rRNA from 1 species
GGGUCCGGACACACUGAGGAUUGACAGGCAAAAGAUACAAGUUUUCUUUGUGAGAGCUUGCAUUGUAAAAUAUGCGAGUCCUUUCAUGAUUAUGUGAUAGGUGGUGCAUGGCCGUUCUUAGUUCGUGGAGUGAUCUGUCUGCUUAAUUGCGUUUCACAACGAUUUAAAAUGCUAUGUUUUCUGUGUUUGCUGUUCGGUUUUAGCUCUUACGGGAGUUUUUAACUUUGAACGCACACGGCGUAGCUUAAAACAAUCGGAAAGCAACGAACGUGACCGCAACCUCUUGUUGCCUUUAUUUUUAAAAGCGUGGAAAAUUUUAUAUUUUCUUACGCUUGAAAAAGGCUUUAAAACUAGAGGGACCGCUGUUCUAUUCUCUUAAACCAGAGGAAGAUUGCGGCAAUAACAGGUCUGUGAUGCCCUCAGAUGUUCCGGGCUGCACACGUGCUACAAUGAUUGUUGCAGUGAGCAUCUAUUUUCAAACGCUACCGUUGCGGAUUUUGUGAGAAGGGGGCUUGUUUUAAAGCUUUCGGGUGGAGAAGCAGGUUCUUUUUUUCACAAUUUAUUCCGCGUUACGUGUCAGCUAAACCUGCUUCGAAAGCAAGUAGGU